GGGGAAAGAUUUAUCGCCGAAGGAUUGGCCCGCGUCCGAUUAGCUAGUUGGUGAGGUAAUGGCUCACCAAGCCGACGAUCGGUAGCUGGUCUGAGAGGAUGAUCAGCCACAUUGGGACUGAGACACGGCCCAAACUCCUACGGGAGGCAGCAGUGGGGAAUAUUGGACAAUGGGCGCAAGCCUGAUCCAGCCAUGCCGCGUGAGUGAUGACGGCCCUAGGGUUGUAAAGCUCUUUCACCCACGACGAUAAUGACGGUAGUGGGAGAAGAAGCCCCGGCUAACUUCGUGCCAGCAGCCGCGGUAAUACGAAGGGGGCUAGCGUUGUUCGGAUUUACUGGGCGUAAAGCGCGCGUAGGCGGAUCUUUAAGUCAGGGGUGAAAUGCCGGAGCUCAACUUCGGAACUGCCUUUGAUACUGGAGAUCUUGAGUUCGGGAGAGGUGAGUGGAACUGCGAGUGUAGAGGUGAAAUUCGUAGAUAUUCGCAAGAACACCAGUGGCGAAGGCGGCUCACUGGCCCGAUACUGACGCUGAGGCGCGAAAGCGUGGGGAGCAAACAGGAUUAGAUACCCUGGUAGUCCACGCUGUAAACGAUGGAUGCUAGCCGUUAGGCAGCUUGCUGCUUAGUGCGCAGCUAACGCUUUAAGCAUCCCGCCUGGGGAGUACGGUCGCAAGA
rnacentral:rRNA from 1 species